rnacentral:rRNA from 1 species
UAAAAGUCGUAACAAGGUUUCCGUAGGUGAACCUGCGGAAGGAUCAUUAAGAGAGAUGACGAUAUUUAUUUUAUACCUGGUGGUUGGGCACAGCCCAACCGGAGCGGAAAAGAAAAAGAAUUUAUUCAACAAUUACAACAGUAAAAUUACAUGAGCACCUUGCUGCAAUGGAUCUCUCGGCUCUUGCAUCGAAGAAGAACGCAGUCCAUUGCGAAAAGUCAUGCGACCUGCACACUUUGAGAAGCAUUACUCUUUGAACGCACCUUGCACGUGGAGUUUACUCUACGAGGUCCUGUUUGAGCAAGUCAAAUAAAUAUCACAUGAUCAUUUCAUAAUUUGAGAUGAUUCAAAAAGAUGCGGAGCAGCCUGAACGACUCUAAGGCAAAGGAUUAGGAUUUUACUAGUUCAACAGUGCGACAAGUAACACUGCAAAACCAGUAAAGACACUAACCCUGACCGCAAGAAGAUGCUUUGCUACUAACCCCAGCAAAAUAUACAACUAGUUAGUCUCUCAAUCAGAAGAGC